rnacentral:rRNA from 1 species
GAUGAACGCUGACAGAAUGCUUAACACAUGCAAGUCAACUUGAAUUUGGGUUUUUAACUUAGGUUUGGGUGGCGGACGGGUGAGUAACGCGUAAAGAACUUGCCUCACAGCUAGGGACAACAUUUGGAAACGAAUGCUAAUACCUAAUAUUAUGAUAAUAGGGCAUCCUAUAAUUAUGAAAGCUAUAAGCGCUGUGAGAGAGCUUUGCGUCCCAUUAGCUAGUUGGAGAGGUAACGGCUCACCAAGGCAAUGAUGGGUAGCCGGCCUGAGAGGGUGAUCGGCCACUAGGGAACUGAGAAACGGCCAUUACUCCUACGGGAGGCGGCAGUGGGGAAUAUUGGACAAUGGACCAAGAGUCUGAUCCAGCAAUUCUGUGUGCACGAUGAAGUUUUUCGGAAUGUAAAGUGCUUUCAGUUGGGAAGAAAGAAAUGACGGUACCAACAGAAGAAGUGACGGCUAAAUACGUG